rnacentral:lncRNA from 1 species
GGCGAAUCCGCGGCUCGCGCCGCCCGCCCCGCCCGCGCGCGCCGGGCCCGGGAGGAGGGUGCGCGGUGGAGGGGGAGUCGGGGAGGGGCCGCGCCGGGUCCUUGCCCGCAGCGGGCACGGCCGGGGGCCCCGGGAGGCCUUGUUGGUAUUCCGGGCACAGCCGAAGCCCUGAUCUCCCCGCGGAACUGGGGCGCCCGGGAGCGCUGCACGGCCGCCCCCCCCCACCCCGGGCGGUUUCCCCCAGGCUGCGGGGCCGUAGGCGCCUCGCUUCCCCCGCCCGUCCCCUCCUCUCCAGGUCCCCCGGACCCCCUCCCCCGCCCUGAUCCGGCGGCGAAGGGGUGGGCAGGGAAACGCGCUCUCUGGGACAGGUGCCAACUCCGAGACAAAAGACAUAAAAUAGGCGGCAACGGGGGAAGCGCGGCCGGCGCGCUCGGGCGGGGACGGAGGCGCCGCGGGGGCCGCAUCCUCGGUGCCGACCGGGGAAAGUUUGGGAAGUCGCCGCGGCGGCUUCGCGGCGGCGGGGGACACGCGGGCCGGGCCGCCCUCCGCGCCGCGCUCGCCCUCUCCGCGCCGCUGCUGAAUAAUUCAUGGCGCGGCCGCCGGCCAUUAGCAUGCACCGGGCGCGCGGCGCGUCUGUGCCCAGCCGCCGCCGCCGCCGCCGCGGCAUUCGGCGCCCCGGCCGCGCUCGAUGAGCGGCCGCGCGGAGGCCGAGCCCGCGCUGUCCCCGCGCUCACUCGCCGGUCCGCUGGCCGGCCGGCUCCCAUUGUGCCCCGGGCCUGCGCCCCGGGCCGUCCGGUGACUGCCCGCGCCCCGCAGCGCGCCCGACGGCCGGGCGCUGGAAGUUCGGGCCCACGGCGCUCGCCCGCCCGCCCCGGGAUGCACGUGAACUUGGAGAAAGUCGCGGGGCGCGCUGGCGCGGACCUCCGCGGCAGGGCGUGGGCGCCCCUGGCCCCGCGCGCUUUCGUUUUCGCCCCGGACAAAGGUCCUUCGCGGCGCAGGUCGCGGACGUGGAGACCGUGUCCUGCGGGUCACUCUGCGGGUUGGUCCGAUCGUUCAACCCGGGGAAGUCGGAGCGAGAAGAGGACGAGCGGCGCGGUCGGAGCGCGGUGCGGGACCCAGGGAGUGGGGCCUGGCCGUGCGCUUCGCCCGCGCCGUCCCGGAGCUGUCCCGCCCUGGGAAGAGUUGUGGGACAUGGCAUGGCUUUGCUCUUUGCCCCUUUCGCCGCGUGAAGGGGAGAAUCAUUUUGGAAGCCAGAACUCGGACCGAUGGGCCAGGGCCUGUGCAGCCGUGGGCGCGAUAGCGCAGCGCCGGCUGCGUCCGAGCGCGAUCCUCCGGCAAGGGCAGAGCUGCAGACCAGCGCGCCCCAGGCUCGAUCGGGUUCAAGGCGACUCUUGA